GGUGUCUGGGUUCGGGCAUGGACUACUAAUAUCUCUAUUUCGUUUCAAAUCUUGGCAAAUCAAGAGAAGUGAGGGCCCGAAAACAAGCAACAGGACGAAGAGAAGAAAAAAAGCGCCCAUGUACUCCUGUACUCUCCAAAAUCAAAUUGUGUCUACGAGGUGGCUUUCUUUCUACACAAGUCCUCUGCCCGCGUAUCGAGGAAGAUGUUUCUGUAUGGUAGGAAACUCACAGCAAGGUGCGCUGUAAGUGAAAACAAGGAAACGAAGACAGCAAAAUUUCGUUCGUCAGGGCCGGCAGACUAUGAAAUGUGAAAAACCGCCAGGGCCCGUUUCCUGUGCCUUCACUGUGCUCCACAAGCUCAAAACUCACAGAAUUCCUUGUCUUUGUAGGCGGUUCUUUCCCUGAGUUUUUUUGUGCCAUCAAGAGGGGCAUACAGAAACGGCAGUUUCGGUUUGAGGUCGAGACGGCACCACACAUCCCUGAAACUCGUUUCACACCCUGUUGGAAACCCAUUCGAUGGGAAGGGUCCCAGAAGACGGCAAAGCUCCAACAGACUGGGCGCUGUAGGAAGACGCUGACGUCAGACAAAAAACAUUCCUUUUGGAAGUUCGGCACUGCUUCCUGGUGUCGCUGUCCGGCAACAAAGCAACCAAUUGCAGACCCGAAAGCUCUAGAGCCCCAAAGAAUGCUUUAAAGUUUGCAGUCCCUCCUUCUCAUGUUCCUCAUCCUUCGCCAUUCUACAUUUUCCACGCACACACUCAUACGCCUUUACAAUCGGAAACAUACAGGUUUGUGUGCGUGCAACUGCGCAUGAGCGCACACCUAGAGGAGACGUGUAAUAGGUAACACGAAAAUCGAUUCCGCGUUGGUUUUCUGACAUGUUCUUUCCGCUCCUUCCCAGGUGCAUUCAUCUGUUGGGGAAUCCCUGAAACUGGAAAGAAAUUCUAGAAACUGCAACCAUGUUGAACUGGAUGUUCCUACAGUUGGUUCCUGGGUUUCUGGAUUCCUCCUGUUGUGUUUUUCACAACUGCUGCAAAAAACGACGAGAACGAGGAUCCUGAACGUUUGGCUUUUCUAUACACAAAUCUCCCUAUUGUUCCCUCUCUUUCCGGAGGUCUUCAUCAGAAAAAAAAACGCUUCUUUCCGGGGCCUGUCUCUCUCAUUUUUGCACCGCAGCGUCGAUUUACGAGGAAGAAUUGAUCGUUUCAUAUCUUCCUAUUUGGACUGAAAUAAUAAAGGGUUGAGUUGUGGGUUAGUUUCAGUGCCCAAAGGCAGGGCAGUGGAUUGGUCACCGAGGGAACUGUGCUCCCACCAAUAAAGUCGUAAGUCACCAGGCAUGCACUACCAAUCAG
rnacentral:lncRNA from 1 species